rnacentral:rRNA from 1 species
GAUGAACGCUGGCGGCGUGCCUAAUACAUGCAAGUCGAGCGAACAGAUGAGGAGCUUGCUCCUCUGACGUUAGCGGCGGACGGGUGAGUAACACGUGGAUAACCUACCUAUAAGACUGGGAUAACUUCGGGAAACCGGAGCUAAUACCGGAUAAUAUAUUGAACCGCAUGGUUCAAUAGUGAAAGACGGUUUUGCUGUCACUUAUAGAUGGAUCCGCGCCGCAUUAGCUAGUUGGUAAGGUAACGGCUUACCAAGGCAACGAUGCGUAGCCGACCUGAGAGGGUGAUCGGCCACACUGGAACUGAGACACGGUCCAGACUCCUACGGGAGGCAGCAGUAGGGAAUCUUCCGCAAUGGGCGUAAGCCUGACGGAGCAACGCCGCGUGAGUGAUGAAGGUCUGCGGAUCGUAAAACUCUGUUAUUAGGGAAGAACAAAUGUGUAAGUAACUAUGCACGUCUGGACGGUACCUAAUCAGAAAGCCACGGCUAACUACGU